CAGAGGUGCUGAGAGGCUCCAGGAGGGUUUUUUUCCAGACCAAAGGCAGUGCAAUUCCCUCAGCCAACACCUGCCUGAGCAGCACCAGGCCUCAUUUACUAAACAGGCUGGGCACUGCGUGCUGUUAUUUUUGGAGAGUUUCAGCCCAAAUGACCCCAAACCAAGAUGUUUUCCUGGAAAACAGGACCAGCAUGAACGGUGAAAAGAAAAGAUGGCAUCUGAGCCAGGCCCAGGUGCUGUGUGCAAGGUUGGUAAUUCCACUCAGCCAGGUUUUUUUUUUGGUGGGAACAAGGCUGGUUUGUUCAGUUGGGAACCUCUGGAGCAGGGAUCAGUCCCACCAAAGCACAGCUGGCUCUGGGAUGUGAGGAGCAGCCAACGUAACCAACAUUUGGGUUUUUCACAUCAAAGUGCCCCCAUCAGCUCACCAGAGUAAAGGCACCCACUGUUCCUGCUCGGGGUUAUUAAAUUUAUUAAUUAUUAAUGGGCCUGUUAAUGCCCUGAAAGGUGUUUUGUACACCCAGUGCAAUAAACAUCCCCUGAUGCUGGCUGAUUUACUCCCUUUGGGGGCUGGAGCCUAUUGGUGGAAGAAAGAACAGUUCUUACAAUAAAAAUAUCAGAACAACUCUUUUUUUUUUUUUGCAGAGAAAUUCUCCAGCAGCAAAAAAAAAAUCCUCUCCCUCUGAUGCCAAAAAACCCCAAAACAAAACCAACCAACCAACCAAAAAACCAAACCCAAAGCAAACAAAAACCCCACAAACAACAACAAACAAAAC